rnacentral:rRNA from 1 species
UACGUAGGGUGCAAGCGUUAAUCGGAAUUACUGGGCGUAAAGCGUGCGCAGGCGGUUAUGCAAGCCAGAUGUGAAAUCCCCGGGCUUAACCUGGGAACUGCAUUUGUGACUGCAUAGCUAGAGUACGGUAGAGGGGGAUGGAAUUCCGCGUGUAGCAGUGAAAUGCGUAGAUAUGCGGAGGAACACCGAUGGCGAAGGCAAUCCCCUGGACCUGUACUGACGCUCAUGCACGAAAGCGUGGGGAGCAAACAGG